AGCGCCUCCAGGGGCGGGAGCAGAGAGACAAGGAAAUGCUGUCACCGCCGUUUAAGAAGCACGUGGAGGUAGUGGGAGGCAUAGUUUUUGGCAAUAGCCAGCCAAGGAUACAGGGAACAGGUGCGGCGCCUGCACGCUGACUUCACGUGGUGGAUGUCUGGCUGAGAGAGAAGUAGGAAAUCCUCACAACGCUUCUUCCAGCUUUGAUCUGCCUGGGGCAGCCCGUGGUGGAAGAUGACUCUGUAGCCCUGGUGUCUACCAGUAUCCGGAGUGGGAGCCCCAAGAGCCAUGUAGACAGGCACCCAGCACUGUGCCAGCUAUGUGGGAGUUGGCUGGCUCUGGGGACGAGCUGUUGGCAGUGCAGGUGGCUGGCGACAAGGAUGGAGUGUGAGGCCUCGAGACAGGAUGGCAGGCAGCACAGAAGCCUCCGCACUCAGCAGAGCUGCGGUCCUGGCUGCUCUGAGGAUGGAGACUACAGGAGGACUCGGAAUCCUCUGGGAGUGGAGUUACAGCUGGUUGAGAGCCACGUGAGUGCUGGGAAUCAACCUUGGAACCUCUGGAAAAAGCGGCGAGUCAACCACAACCCAUCGCUCAAGCCCCAUUGCUGGGCCUGGUGACAACGCAUGUCAGUCCUGCCUCAGCCCCCUGAAUGCAUGUUUACAGAUGUGCACCAGAGCACCUGACUCAAGUUUUAAACGAUCAUUUUGAGCAC
rnacentral:lncRNA from 1 species